ACAAUAGAGGACUGGCCGUAAUAAUUUCUAUUUGGAGUCAAUAAUUAAAAAUUUAACGUAAGUCACAGCAUUGCCAAUAUGUAAUUACUAUAUUUAUAGAGAUAUAUGUACAAAAAAAUAUUUUUAUAUGAAUAAAUAUUUUUUAAUAUGCAAUAACCAUAUUUAUAGAGAUAUACCUACAAAAAAAUAUUUUGUAUCAAUAAAUAUUCUUUAAUUUUGCCAAAUAGAAAGGGCAUUGGUGGGGCC
rnacentral:lncRNA from 1 species